rnacentral:lncRNA from 1 species
GGUUACUGUAGCACCACACUGUCAAAUCAUGGACUAAUUAGGCUUAAUAGAUUCAUCUCGCGAAUUAGACUCCAUCUGUGCAAUUAGUUUUGUAAUUAGCCUAUAUUUAAUACUCCUAAUUAGUAUCCAAACAUCCGAUGUGACAGGUGCUAAAUUUUAGCAGGGAGUAUCCAAACGGGGCCAAAGUGAAAGAGCUUCAGUCAACCACAAUCGGUGCAGAUUGUGUGAGGCCCACAAGGGAAAAGUGGACUAGGACAUCAACAGCCAGUAUUGGAAAUGGUACAGUUCCACUGAAUGAGAAAGCUGCCGUUCUAUUACAGGAUGUUACUAGGAAAUAUUUGGUGCCUGUUGAGUGUUUACCUUUUCAUGAAAUUAUCUGCUUCAAGAAUGUUGAUGUUCUCUUCCUUUUACCUCAGAAAAAAGAGAGAAAAGAGGUCUUGGGUUUAUCAGCUCUUCUUCGCCGAAGUCAAACCCACAAAGGAAGGAAAGCAAUUCAUUUGCUGCCCACUACAGCGUGAUGAGAAUGGUAUAAAUUUAAUCCAAUUGAUAUCGCACAUUAAAUUCUUACAUGACAUCUAUAAUACAAAUAUUUGCUGGUUAAUUAUGAAAAUAAAAAUGUAUUGGUGGAAGAAAUAAGAUAGUUUCAUUUUCAAUAACCUUUGUUGAUUGUGUAUCUGAUUUAAAGAUGUGUCUAAACUCUAAACUACUUUUUUUUAAUUGUUGCCGGAAUGUUGGCAUUGAUCUUGGGCACCCAACAAGUGCCGUGUACGAGAAGGGUCAAGAGGGCUCUGGAUUUCCAUUUGACAGCUUCAGUGUGAGUGACCACUAGUGAUAAGGUAUGUUUUCUGAUUUGUAACUGUUUCAUGUUCUUUUCAUUACCCUAUUGGGUUGUUUCGUCAGCUCUGAAUUCGACUCUCGAAUUCGUCCAUGUCAGAAUGCUAGUGUUCGAUUGAAUUUGCUCUGCUUUUUUCUAUAAUUGAUUGCGAAGUGAUUGCAGUGAUCACUACCUAGCAGAAUAAUUUGAUAAAAUUGAGCGUCUAAGUGUCCCUAUGGUUUCAUUCGCUGUAGAUUUGAAGAGCAAUACGCAUAUGGCUUGGGAAUCGCUCAUUUCACCUCGGUUGAUAUGAAAAUUAUUUUUCUUAGAUAAAAUUGCUCUGGUUACAUUCAAAGAAAAGCGUGCAACAAACCACAGCAAUAUGCUUGCUAGGUUGAUGAAUUUAUUCGAAUCUGCUUGCAGCGUGUGAUGGAUUUUCGUAUUCGUUUGUGUUCUGUUCUCCUCGGCAAAACCACAGCAGGAAUGGAUGGUUUCCUCCUGCUAUUUUACUGAAAUAGAUAUUUUCUGUGGUGCUUUGGUCUAACAUAAUUAUUGGAAAAAUACUGGUCCUUUCUCAUAAACUAUGGUGUUUUCUCUGCUGCGCAGGGCACUUUCGAUCUCAUAGUGGGUGCUUCUUCAACCAAUGGGCAAAGUCUCCACCUGAAUAACUUUAGUGGCACCUUGUGCAUAAGCAUCCUCUUUCUUCUUUUUUUUUCUUUUUGACUGGAACUGAGGACUUGUUGCAUGUUUUAUACGUUGUGGCAGCGGAAUUGUUGAGUGCCUAUGGUUUGCAUCUAUGAUGCCAUAUUUUGUAAAACUGCUAUUUGUCAAUGUUCAAAUGUGUAAUGCACUAAUCUAUGCUGAAAUGUUUGUAGAUUCUGUAAAUCUCUCUUUAUGUGUGUGUGUGUGUGUUGCCAUAUCAUCGGUGGGGCAUUGAAUCACCGCAAAAUGUUCAAAAUUGAUGCGUAGGCGCAAUGCUGUGAUCUUUGUUGUUAUAUACGUCAUCGCCUUAAAAUUCAUAGGUAUAUAGGGAUCGGCACAACUUUUUGUGCGAAACAUGCCCGAACAAAGUUGAU